CCUACGGGUGGCAGCAGUGGGGGAUAUUGCACAAUGGGGGGAACCCUGAUGCAGCGACGCCGCGUGAGCGAUGGAGUACUUCGGUAUGUAAAGCUCUGUCAGCAGGGAAGAAAAUGACGGUACCUGACCAAGAAGCCCCGUCUAAAUACGUUCCAGAAGCCGCGGCAAUACGUAGGGGGCAAGCGUUAUCCGGAUUUACUGGGUGUAAAGGGAGCGUAGGCGGCAGGGCAAGCCUGAUGUGAAAGCCCGGGGCUCAACCCGGGGACUGCAUUGGAAACUGGCCUGCUAGAGUGCCGGAGGGGCAGGCGGAAUUCGUAGUGUAGCGGUGAAAUGCGUAGAUAUUAGGAAGAACACCAGUGGCGAAGGCGGCCUGCUGGACGGUGACUGACGCUGAGGCUCGAAAGCGUGGGGAGCAAACAGGAUUAGAUACCCGAGUAGUC
rnacentral:rRNA from 1 species